GACGAACCGUGCGAACGUUGUUCGGAAUCACUGGGCUUAAAGGGCGCGUAGGCGGUUCAUCAAGUCUGGGGUGAAAUCUUUCGGCUUAACCGGAAAAGUGCCUGGGAUACUGAUGAACUGGAGGGAGAUAGGGGCAGCUGGAACUUCCGGUGGAGCGGUGAAAUGCGUUGAUAUCGGAAGGAACUCCGGUGGCGAAAGCGAGCUGCUGGAUCUCUUCUGACGCUGAGGCGCGAAAGCCAGGGGAGCAAACGGGG
rnacentral:rRNA from 1 species